rnacentral:rRNA from 1 species
AUUGAACGCUGGCGGCAGGCCUAACACAUGCAAGUCGAACGAGUGUAGGACGGUGGAGUAAGGUCUGGGAAACCGUCCGAUGGAUGGGGAUAACAACUGGAAACGGUAGCGAAUAACGCAUACCAUCGGAUGUCGCCAGGUGGGAGUAGCUUGUGGGUGGGGUAAUGGCUCACCUAGGCGACGAUCCCUAGCUGGGCUGAGAGGAUGACCGGCCACACUGGAACUGAGAAACGGUCCAGACCCCUACGGGAGGCAGCAGUGGGGAAUAUUGCACAAUGGUGGCAAGCCUGAUGCAGCCAUGCCGCGUGUAUGAAGAAGGUCUGCGGGUUGUAAAGUACUUUCAGAGGGGAGGCGUUACCUGAAGAAGAAGCACCGGCUAACUCCGUGCCAGCAGCCGCGGUAAUUC